rnacentral:ncRNA from 1 species
UCGGUUCACAAGGAAACGCGUGAUUAAAAGGGAACGGGGUGAGAAUCUCCGACAGUCCCGCUGCUGUGUGUAGUCUUACCGGUGCAGACAAGUCCUGCUUUAGGCAGGAAUCAAUGGCCACUGACAUUUUUUGGGAAGGCCGUCUGUACUGACUGCGAGCCAGAAGACCUGCCAUUGCC